rnacentral:rRNA from 1 species
ACACAUGCAAGUCGAGGGGUAACAGGGAGCUUGCUCCGCUGACGACCGGCGCACGGGUGCGCAACGCGUAUGCAAUCUACCUCUUACUAAGGGAUAGCCCAGAGAAAUUUGGAUUAAUAUCUUAUGUGAUAUGUGACUGGCAUCGGUUAYAUAUUAAAGGUUACGGUAAGAGAUGAGCAUGCGUCUCAUUAGUUAGUUGGUAAGGUAACGGCUUACCAAGACUUCGAUGAGUAGGGGUCCUGAGAGGGAGAUCCCCCACACUGGUACUGAGACACGGACCAGACUCCUACGGGAGGCAGCAGUGAGGAAUAUUGGACAAUGGACGGAAGUCUGAUCCAGCCAUGCCGCGUGUAGGAAGACUGCCCUAUGGGUUGUAAACUACUUUUAUACAGGAAGAAUAAGAUCUACGUGUAGAUUGAUGACGGUACUGUAAGAAUAAGGACCGGCUAACUCCGUGCCAGCAGCCGCGGUAAUACGGAGGGUCCGAGCGUUAUCCGGAAUUAUUGGGUUUAAAGGGUCCGUAGGCGGGCUGUUAAGUCAGAGGUGAAAUGCUGCGGCUCAACCGUAUGCACUGCCUUUGAUACUGGCGGUCUUGAGUUAUAGUGAAGUGGCUAGAAUAAGUAGUGUAGCGGUGAAAUGCAUAGAUAUUACUUAGAAUACCGAUUGCGAAGGCAGGUCACUAACUAUACACUGACGCUGAUGGACGAAAGCGUGGGUAGCGAACAGGAUUAGAUACCCUGGUAGUCCACGCCGUAAACGAUGGAUACUAGCUGUUCGGUUUUCGGACUGAGCGGCCAAGCGAAAGUGAUAAGUAUCCCACCU